rnacentral:misc_RNA from 1 species
UCACAAGCCCCCAGGGGCAUUAGACAAACAGACAAACAUUCAACAGGGAUUGCAGCUUUGCUAAGCAAGAAUAGGUAAAUUGAAGAGGUCCAAUCGAAUAAAUUUGAUGAAAAUUCUAAGCUUGACUUAGAAGACUCCACCCCAAAACUUUCAAGUCUGAUUUCAUUUGUUUCAUUCAUAUCCUUCCUUCUGCAUAGAUCUCAUCGACCUUUCCUCAACAAUGCCCAGCCAUAGCGAUAACUGAGGAGAACGAAACCAAACAUGCCCUUCUCCUCUUACAUUGGCGGCAACACUCGCCGUGGAGGUGGAGGAGCCGGCACCACCUGGGCUCAAUCACUCCUCCCCUCCUCCACCGCUAAAUCAAAGAUUCCUCCAAGAAGGUCUCGCAGGCGGACGGCUCUGAUCAACUUCUUAUUCACUAACUUCUUCACUAUAGCUCUCUCGAUCUCUCUCAUCUUCCUUCUCAUCACCAUCCUCCACUUUGGCGUCCCUAAGCCUCUUUCCUCUCCCUUUAAAUCUAGACCCAAGCCCACUUUUCGCCUUCCGAAGCCUCGCAAGACGAUUCCUAGGAAGCCCCAAAACGAUAACGAUAACAAAGAUGCCGUUUUUGGCGCUGUAGUGGAUAUAACCACAACGGGUUUGUAUGAUAAGAUCGAAUUCUUGGAUGUGGAUGGCGGGCCUUGGAAGCAAGGGUGGAGAGUGAGCUAUAGAGGAAAUGAGUGGGAUACUGAGAAGUUGAAGGUAUUUGUGGUGCCUCAUUCGCAUAAUGAUCCUGGGUGGAAAUUGACUGUUGAUGAGUAUUAUGAGAGGCAAUCUAGGCACAUACUCGAUACAAUUGUGGAAACACUUUCUAAGGAUGUUCGGCGGAAGUUCAUAUGGGAAGAAAUGUCUUAUCUGGAGAGAUGGUGGAGAGAUGCAGCAGCUAACAAAAGAGAAUUGUUUACCAGUUUAGUGAAGAAUGGCCAGUUAGAAAUUGUUGGAGGUGGUUGGGUUAUGAAUGAUGAGGCCAAUUCACAUUAUUUUGCCAUAAUUGAACAGAUUGCAGAGGGGAAUAUGUGGUUGAAUGACACCAUUGGGUUUGUUCCUAAAAAUUCUUGGGCAAUAGAUCCAUUUGGCUACUCAGCUACCAUGGCAUAUCUACUCCGUCGUAUGGGUUUUGAGAACAUGCUUAUUCAAAGGACUCAUUAUGAGGUAAAGAAGGAACUUGCUCUGAAAAAGAAUUUAGAAUAUGCAUGGCGUCAAAGCUGGGAUGCUGAGGAAACAACUGAUAUUUUUGUGCACAUGAUGCCCUUCUAUUCAUAUGAUAUUCCUCAUACUUGUGGGCCAGAGCCUGCUAUUUGUUGUCAGUUUGAUUUUGCUCGAGUACAUGGCUUUUAUUAUGAGAUGUGCCCAUGGGGGCUUCAUCCAGUAGAGACCAGCCUGGAAAAUGUACAGGAAAGGGCCCAAACAUUGCUAGAUCAGUACAGGAAGAAAUCAACACUAUACCGGACUAAUACUCUCCUUGUUCCUCUUGGAGAUGAUUUCCGAUAUAUCAGUGUCGAUGAAGCAGAGGCUCAGUUUCGGAAUUACCAGAAGUUAUUUGAUUAUAUCAACUCUAAUCCUAGUUUAAAUGCAGAGGUAAAAUUUGGUACUCUGGAAGAAUACUUCCAAACUGUUCAUGAGGAGGCUGAUAGAAUAAAUUAUUCACGUCCUGGCGAGGCUGGGUCUGUUCAGAUUGGAGGUUUUCCAUCUCUAUCUGGUGACUUCUUUACUUAUUCUGAUAGGCAACAAGACUACUGGAGUGGCUAUUAUGUUUCAAGGCCUUUCUUCAAGGCUGUUGAUCGGGUACUAGAGCAAACUCUUCGUGCCACUGAAAUGAUGAUGGCUUUGUUACUUGGUUAUUGUCAGAGAGUACAAUGUGAAAAGUUGGCAACAGGAUUUGGCUAUAAGUUGACUGCUGCCAGGAGGAAUUUAGCUCUUUUUCAACACCAUGAUGGGGUGACUGGUACUGCUAAGGAUCAUGUUGUUCGCGACUACGGAAUUCGGAUGCAUACUUCAUUGCAUGACUUGCAGAUUUUCAUGUCUAAAGCUAUUGAAGUACUUCUUGGUAUCCACCAUGAAAAAUCUGAUCAUAACCCAUCCCAGUUUGAGGCAGAACAGGUGAGAUCUAAAUAUGAUGUUCAGCCUGUCCAUAAAGCAAUCAGUGCACGUGAAGGGACAUGGCAAUCAGUGAUCCUUUUUAAUCCCUUGGAGCAAACUAGAGAAGAGGUUGUGAUGGUUAUUGUUAACAGCCCAGAUGUUGCUGUUUUGGACUCCAACUGGACUUGCAUUCAAAGCCAAGUUUCUCCUGAACUACAGCAUGAUAGGAGCAAGAUUUUUACUGGGAGGCAUCGUGUCCACUUCAAAGCUUCUGUUCCUGCCUUGGGGUUGCAAACAUAUUAUAUUGCCAAUGGUUUUGCUGGAUGUGAAAAAGCCAUACCAGCAAAAUUGAAGUACUUCUCAAUUUCCAAUUCAUUUUCAUGCCCCUCUCCAUAUGCUUGUUCUAAAGUAGAAGGUGCCAUGGCUGAAAUCCAGAAUCAACAUCAAGCUCUCACCUUUGAUGUCAAGCUUGGUUCGUUUCAGAAAAUUAGCCAUAAAAAUGGUUCCAGAAUUGUUGUGGACGAGGAAAUAGGUAUGUACACUAGUCCGGGAAGUGGGGCUUACCUGUUUAAGCCUGAUGGUGAUGCUCAGCCUAUUGUUGAGGCAGGUGGGAACAUGGUGAUCUCAGGGGGCCCACUAAUGCAGGAAGUGUUUGUUUAUCCUAAAACAUCAUGGGAUCAAACACCCAUCUCCCAUAGUACUAGAAUUUAUAAUGGAGAUAAUACUAUACAAGAGUUUCUCAUUGAGAAAGAAUAUCAUGUUGAGCUUCUUGGCAAGGAAUUUGAUGACAGGGAAUUAAUAGUUAGAUACAAGACAGAUAUUGAUAAUAAAAAGAUCUUCUAUUCUGAUUUAAAUGGCUUUCAGAUGAGCCGGAGAGAAACUUACAGUAAGAUCCCACUGCAGGGGAAUUACUAUCCUAUGCCCUCUCUAGCGUUCAUGCAAGGAUCUAAUGGUCAGAGGUUUUCUGUCCAUUCUAGACAGUCAUUGGGUGUGGCAAGCCUAAAAGAUGGAUGGUUGGAGAUUAUGCUUGAUCGACGUUUGGUAAGGGAUGAUGGACGUGGUCUUGGACAAGGGGUGAUGGAUAACCGUCCGAUGAAUGUGAUCUUUCACAUCCUUGUUGAGAUGAACAUUUCUUCCACCUCAGAUCCCGUUUCCAAUCCUCUUCCUCUGAGCCCCUCUCUUCUUUCGCAUUGUGUUGGAGCUCAUUUGAACUAUCCUUUACAAGCAUUUGUUGCAAAGAACCCUCAGGAGUUAUCUGUGCAACCACCCCCAAGAUCCUUCUCUCCUUUGUCUGCUCCAUUACCAUGUGACUUGCACAUAGUGAAUUUUAAAGUUCCUCGGCCGUUAAAAUAUUCACAGCAGCUGAUAGAAGAUUCUAGGUUUGUUCUAAUCUUACAGAGGCGCCAUUGGGAUACUUCAUAUUGUCGGAAGGGCAGAUCACAGUGCACUACUGUUGCAAAUGAGCCUUUAAAUCUUUUCAACAUGUUCAAGGGGCUUGCAGCAUUGAAUGCAAGAGCAACUUCUUUGAACCUUCUGCAUGAUGAUGUGGAAAUGCUAGGGUACGCUGAGCAGGUUGGAGAUGCAGCUCAAGAGGGAUAUGUUGUCAUCUCUCCUAUGGAAAUACAAGCAUACAAGCUGGAGUUGCGGCCACACCAGUGAGCACAAAAUGUUAUACUUUGGGUAUUGUAUCUUUGUGGAUAAUGAUGGUAUGGGUUAGUGGCAAAGCAACAGUGAUUUUUUAUAUACCAUUGUCAUUUGUCAACAUAACCCGAGCUUAAACUUCAAGAAUAAUUGACUGUCUGAUGCUAUGUCAUGCAAUAUCUGACCAAGUCAAGGACAUAGCAGAGGCUGACUCUUUAUGGAGGAUUCAAGACUUCAUUUUUGAGUACUAUAGAAGGUAUUGGUACAUAUUUUGUAUACAAGUACUGUUAUUACGUGAAGGAGGUUAUAUUAUGGGAAACUGCUGUUUUCCAGCAAGAAGCAUAGAUUAUCAACCUUUGAUGAUAUUUGAAUUUUGCCCCAUUUUGCUGGUAGCAUGGGUUCAUGGUAAUAUAUUUUUGCAGAGGAAUAUUUUUCCAGGUAAUAUGAAGUGAUUAGGUGCUGAGAGUAACCCUUAACUUUUCUAAUCACUACUCAUUAGGGAUGGAUAUGGCUGUAUCAUCUAGCGCCCCUGGGCGGUGCGCAGCAUUACUUGUAUUGGGAAGUAACAAGGCAGAGUUCUCCAAGAAAAUAAUAAUAAUAAUAAUA